AACACGCUCCUUAGAUCCACCUCUGGGGAGUUUCUCCGCUCCGAUUCUGUUGUGUUCUCUGUCUGGGAGCAGCAGGAUUGGGCCGGAGGCUCCCAGCAGCUUUACGGCUGUACAGUUGGAGGUGCUUGAGUCAUUGGCGUGUGAGAUCAGUCUACCUGCUCACCCAGAAUCCUCUCUGCCCUGAUCCUUCACAGGAAAAUGCCAGGGCAGAACAGCUGGAGAGCAGACAAA
ensembl:snoRNA